CGCCCGCGUUGGCGACGCGGUGCCCGAUGCCGGAGUGAAGCCAGCGGUUCACUGCUGUGGCGCCGCCUGCCGGAAGGGCCGGAAAGCGCACCCGGAGCCGACCCGCCGCCGCGCUGCCAGAAAUGAGAAAAUGGAACCGAGGGAGCUUGUGAAAGAGGAGAUCCUUGAGACAAAGCGCAGUGCCAGCCAGAAGCUCAGCCUCGGAUACCUGCACGUGGCCGUCAGACAGAAGAUGGGCAUGAAGACGAGAGCAGAGACAGACCCUACAUUGCACCAAGGCCACGUCAGCUAUGCAGGAGACAGUGGACCUGCAAAUGCAACAAGAAACAGGAAGCUCUUCUUUAACGUCCAUUGUUGCCUUCGUCCUCCCAGCGGCUUCUCCUGCAAGAAGAUGUGGAUGAAGAUCAAGUGAGCACCAGGCUGCCGCCAUAUGUGCAGGAACACCUGCAGAAUAAAAAGUCCUGUUCACCAGAGAUGUACCGCUCCUCUUUGCACCCCGGGAAGCAGGCUGGAGGGGAUUGGGCUCUGGGUGUUGCACCCCACCUGAGGGAGAAUGUACGCACUUCCAGAGGGCAGCCCCCAGCCAAGCAGCACCACCCUGGGAAGCCUCAGCUUCAGCCAAGAGCUGGGGGACAAACGGGCUCAAGUGCUGAGCAGAGCCCAGGGAACAGAGAACUGGCUUGGGAGCACUGGGGGGUUCCACCACCUGCCAGGAAGCACCCACACUGCGCUUACCAGAACAGAGAGCUUCACGCUGUUGGGCAGCUUCUGGCAUUUCUUGCUCACAACCUCCAGCAGAAGCCAGCUGCAUCACUGCACCUUCCCUGCCGGUGGAGGAGGGCAGGCAAGGUGCA
ensembl:lncRNA